CUUUCUUUUUUCUAAGUAGCUUUUUAGUGAUGUAUAAUUUUCGAACUAUGAUUUCAAAAGGACGUAAAUUUGUUUUGUGGAAAUUCUAUUUAACUCGUUACUUCAGAUUGUAUCCUGUUAUGUUGAUUUUUUGUCUAUUUUUUAUAACUUUGGCGAGAUUUUGUACAGAUGGACCGUUAUCUCUAAGUAUUAUCGGUGGUGUUGAGUAUUGGCGAAAAUAUAUCUGGUCUUUUAUAAUUUUUAUCGGGAAUUUCUAUACAUCAGGGGCUGACGUACUUUCAUUAUCCCAUUUAUGGUACGUUUUUUGUGACACUCAACUUUAUCUGUUUACGCCCCUGGUAUUUUUAUUUUAUUUAAAAUUUUCAAGAAACACUGGCUUAGUUUUUCUUUGCUUUGCGCUGCUUACUUCUAUUUCUUGUGUUUUGAUUGGUGGAUAUUUGAUCACUAUACAU